rnacentral:rRNA from 1 species
GACGAACGCUGGCGGCGUGCUUAACACAUGCAAGUCGAACGGAAAGGCCUCUUUCGGGGGGUACUCGAGUGGCGAACGGGUGAGUAACACGUGAGUAACCUGCCCUUGACUUUGGGAUAACUUCAGGAAACUGGGGCUAAUACCGGAUAGGAGCUCCUGCUGCAUGGUGGGGGUUGGAAAGUUUCGGCGGUUGGGGAUGGACUCGCGGCUUAUCAGCUUGUGGGUGGGGUAGUGGCUUACCAAGGCUUUGACGGGUAGCCGGCCUGAGAGGGUGACCGGCCACAUUGGGACUGAGAUACGGCCCAGACUCCUACGGGAGGCAGCAGUGGGGAAUAUUGCACAAUGGGUGGAAGCCUGAUGCAGCAACGCCGUGUGCGGGAUGACGGCCUUCGGGUUGUAAACCGCUUUCGCUCAUGACGAAGCUUUGUGUGACGGUAGUGGGUAAAGAAGCACCGGCUAACUACGUG